CGGAGCCCCCGCAGUUCGCGGACUACGCGCUGUACCGGCCCGCGCACCACCUCGCGCGACACACGCCGCACACUGACGACACUCACAGUGGCGAGGAGUGCGGUCGUCUGGUAGAGAGCGUAUCUUCGUACUGCUUGGAUCUGAACCUCGACGACAGCUCCGCCAGACUCACUAAAGCCAAAAAGACGAAAGAGAAAUCCUCGCCUUCUAGUGAAGAAGAGCAUCCGAUAUUGGACCAAAGUGAAGGUUGG